GGUUCAGCAGGUUCAUCCUUUGGUAAGAAGCGGUCCACACUGCUGUCUGAACCCUGCCGGUUGUGACCUCGACCUUCGAAGAGAUGAGGCACUCAUCGGCUACCAUCCGGACAUCUGACUCGCUGUCAUCACUGCAGAGCAGGAACAUCUCCAUGGCGAUGCCCAGCAGCUUCUGAAACUCUGGAGACGUUCUGCUCCCAGGACCAUAGGAAAGAAAGUCUCAAAGAUUGUCAGAAAUAAAUCCAUGCCACCUCUGCUAGACUCGAGUUGGUACAGGCACCUAGAAGACCGUUUACGACACACCAG